AUUGAACGCUGGCGGCAGGCCUAAUACAUGCAAGUCGAGCGAGCGGCGGACGGGUGAGGAAUGUUUGGGGACUGCCGGAUAGAGGGGGAUAACUACUGGAAACGGCGGCGAAUACCGCAUACUAGCGGCUAACCCAUAUGGGAUUAGCUAGUAGGUAAGGUAAUGGCUUACCUAGGCGACGAUCCCUAGCUGGUCUGAGAGGAUGAUCAGCCACACUGGGACUGAGACACGGCCCAGACUCCUACGGAGGCAGCAGUGGGGAAUAUUGCACAAUGGGCGCAAGCCUGAUCCAGCCAUGCCGCGUGUAUGAAGAAGGCCCUAGGUUUGUAAAGUACUUUCAGUCGGGAGGCGUUACCGACAGAAGAAGCACCGGCUAACUCCGUGCCAGCAGCCGCGGUAAUAC
rnacentral:rRNA from 1 species